rnacentral:sRNA from 1 species
CAAGCUAGUCCAGAAUUCUUCCUUUUUCCAGGUUAGGCCAGGAACUGCGUGUCCCAGAGUAACCUAGCAUUUUCCCUGCCCAAGCUGGCCCAGGAUUGCUCUGUUUGCCAAGGCUAGCCCCGACUUUCCCUAUCUUCAUAAGGCAGCCCUUCAAAUGAGUUCCAGGAUUCCUUCCCUCCCAGGCUGUUUGAGAACACUCUCUACUCAGCUAACUUCAGAUUCAACCCCCUCCCCAAGCAAGCCCCAUGGUCCCACCGCCUCUAGGGCUAGCUCAGGGCAAUAUCACAGCCUGGGAGCUUCCCCAGCUUCCAUGUCCAGUGUUGGGGGCUGACAGGGGGCACCAGAUGGGCUGCGGAAGCUGACGCCAACAUCUCUUCCUCCAUCCCCAGAGAUUUCCUGGAGCCCGAUUCAGGGACAUGUCCAGAGGUGGAUGAAGAAGGUUUCACUGUCCGGCCUGAUGUGACCCAGAACAGCACGGCCGAGCCCUCCCGUUUCUCGUCCAGCGACUCCGACUUCGACGAUGAAGAGCCCCG